rnacentral:rRNA from 2 species
UGAGGAAUAUUGGUCAAUGGUCGGAAGACUGAACCAGCCAUGCCGCGUGCAGGAAGAAUGUCUUAUGGAUUGUAAACUGCUUUUGUAUGGGAAUAAUAAGGGGCUUGCGAGCCUUGAUGCAUGUACCAUACGAAUAAGGAUCGGCUAACUCCGUGCCAGCAGCCGCGGUAAUACGGAGGAUUCGAGCGUUAUCCGGAUUUAUUGGGUUUAAAGGGUGCGUAGGCGGCGUUAUAAGUCAAUGGUGAAAGACUUGAGCUUAACUCAGGCGAGCCGUUGAUACUGUAGAGCUAGAACAUAGAUGGAGCAGGCGGAAUGAAUCAUGUAGCGGUGACAUGCAUAGAUAUGAUUCAGAACACCGAUCGCGAAGGCAGCUUGCUAAGCUAUAGUUGACGCUGAGGCACGAAAGCGUGGGGAUCGAACAGG